AUGAGAAGGAGCCCGAGGUUGAUUACCGGACAGUGACAAUCAAUACUGAACAAAAAGUAUCUGACUUCUACGACAUUGAGGAGAGAUUAGGAUCCGUGUCAGGAGGGGAGCUGUUUGAGCGCAUCAUUGACGAGGACUUUGAGCUGACGGAGCGUGAGUGCAUCAAGUACAUGCGGCAGAUCUCGGAGGGGGUGGAGUACAUCCACAAGCAGGGCAUCGU
rnacentral:sRNA from 1 species